GGCUGUGUAUGUGAGGCAGAGGACCUUCGAUGAUGUCAUUACCAUGUGAUUGGUCACAUGGGCGGGAGGAGCCUAACUGCUGUGCUGUGGAGGCCCAGGAAGACUAUGUAUCAUGAGAAGAAGCCAACAUAAUAGAAAUAUUGAUAUCAGCUUUUACCAGAAAGUACAGCUGUAGCAGAUCUGAGCUUGUCUAAUGCAAAGUACUGAGUUCAUGGUUUGAUACGAUUGUGAUAUGAUGUUGUUGGUGGCUUUGCAAGGGACUGAAGAAUACCAAAGACCAACCAUAAAACUCUGCCUCCAAGGGCUGCAACAUAAAGAUGUUUUUCCAAUAUUAGAUUAAACGACAAAGCAAAAAGAAGUCCAACCAUAAAUACAAUUAGAUUUACAUUCAAGUGUAAUUGAAGAGGACAAAGGCCCCAUUGGAUGUGUGAUGAGUGUGAAUAUCCCAAGGCUAGAAGAGCUGUCUCUACCAACUGAUUGAAAAGGACAUCUCUCCGAACCAGCACAAACUCAGCGUGUUCUUCUCGGCUGUCCAUUUGCUCCACCACGCAGAAUACAGGCAGCAUUAGUCCUGACAAGAGAAGGAUAUUUAUCGGGAAGUUUGUCCUGAAAGUCUGGGAACAGUGAGAGUCCGAUAAAGAGACAAGACCUUCCCUCAACCACAUUUUUGUUCCACGAUAAGACACUUAAAUUACGAUUUCCUCUAUUUAUUUGAACAUUUGGAAAAAAAAUACACAGCAAAUAAUUCAGAGAAAAGGCAAAGCAGAUGUCCAUUGCAACCAUCAGAUUUGUGCUCUUAUUUUUUAGAAAUCUUUUUUGAAAAAAAGAUGAAAUCUCAUUUUCCCCAAAAAUGGCUUCUGUGCUGAAUACUUUAUCAUUUGGAAGAACCUCAGACAAGAGAACCUUUUAUGCCACAAGGAUCUUGAAAAUGCCAAAUAAAGAAGACUUGUAGAUUGAAGAUUGAGAGGGACCAGAUACUUUUUGUUUAAAACUUUCCUGGAUUUAACAGUCACUGUUGCACCUCCUUGUUCUUCCUCUCAUCAGCCCAGUUCUCACAGACUAUGCGUGUCAAGGCUCCUUAUUUUUUAUAUGCAAGCAAUGCUUAUUUUAUUUCUCAUACAUAGGAAAAAUAGGAAGAUUCUGCAUGGCUAUGUCUGGAUCUUAUUAAUGCGUCUCCUCCAUGUCUCAGCCUUUUGCUAAUAAAUUAUCUUUUUAUAUGGACAUUUUAUUUUCAUCUGCAGGAAAGUCAUUAGCUGAAAAAUAGAUGUUACAACCACUUGGCUGCCAGCAAGACUUUCAAUGUGCCGCCGACCCAUUUGGCAGCAAAGGAGUUAAGGAAGCUAUCAUGUUUAAUAUGUGUUUAUAGCUGAUUUACCCUUAUAAUGUUGCCUUGUUCCUGAACAAUGAAGGCAUCAUUGUUGUUGCUUGUUUUUUUUUACUUUAUUCUUUUUCAUGGUGGCCAUGUUUACUGGCCAACAACACAUAUGAGGUUUUCAUGGCAUGCACUGAA